CGCGUAGGCGGCUGGGUAAGUCGCGUGUGAAAGCCCGGGGCUCAACCCCGGAGCUGCAUGCGAGACUGCCUGGCUCGAGCACGGUAGAGGCGGGCGGAAUUCCUGGUGUAGCGGUGGAAUGCGUAGAUAUCAGGAAGAACACCGGUGGCGAAGGCGGCUCGCUGGGCCGUUGCUGACGCUGAGGCACGAAAGCGUGGGGAGCAAACAGGAUUAGAUACCCUGGUAGUCCACGCCCUAAACGAUGGACACUAGGCGUCGGGGGGAGCGACCCUCCCGGUGCCGUCGCUAACGCAAUAAGUGUCCCGCCUGGGGAGUACGGCCGCAAGGCUGAA
rnacentral:rRNA from 1 species